rnacentral:rRNA from 1 species
UCUGGCCUGCCCCCUGAAAGUUUUAAAGGGCCGCGGUAUCUGAACCGUGCUAAGGUAGCAUAAUCAAUAGUCUUUUAAUUGAGGUCUAGAAUGAAUGGUCGGACAGGAGGUAAGCUGUCUUGGAUAUAUAUAUUGAAUUUUACUUUUAAGUGAAAAGGCUUAGAUUGAAUAGGGGGACGAUAAGACCCUAUAAAGCUUAACUUGUUAGCUUUAAGUUUGCUGGAAUUUAAAGUGUUCUAAUCUUAUGAGUUAACGGGUUUCGCUGGGGCGGCGGGAAUAUAAUUUGUAACUGUUCUUUUUAGAAAAAUAAAGGUUUUUAGAUAAUUUGAUCCUUUUUAGAGAUUAUAAGAUUAAAGUUACUUUAGGGAUAACAGCGUGAUUUUUUCUGAGAGUUCAUAUCGACGAAAUUAGUUGCGACCUCGAUGUUGAAUUAAGGUGUUAUCAAGGUGUAGCAGUUUUGAUA